AUUGAACGCUGGCGGCAUGCUUUACACAUGCAAGUCGAACGGUAACAGGCCGCAAGGUGCUGACGAGUGGCGAACGGGUGAGUAAUGCAUCGGAACGUGCCCAGUCGUGGGGGAUAACUAUCCGAAAGGAUAGCUAAUACCGCAUACGAUCUGCGGAUGAAAGCGGGGGACCUUCGGGCCUCGCGCGAUUGGAGCGGCCGAUGUCAGAUUAGGUAGUUGGUGGGGUAAAGGCUCACCAAGCCAACGAUCUGUAGCUGGUCCGAGAGGACGACCAGCCACACUGGGACUGAGACACGGCCCAGACUCCUACGGGAGGCAGCAGUGGGGGAUUUUGGACAAUGGGCGCAAGCCUGAUCCAGCAAUGCCGCGUGCAGGAAGAAGGCCUUCGGGUUGUAAACUGCUUUUGUACGGAACGAAACGAUCCUGGUUAAUACCCGGGGCUAAUGACGGUACCGUAAGAAUAAGCACCGGCUAACUACGUGCCAGCCGCCGCAGUAACAC
rnacentral:rRNA from 1 species